UAAAGCAUCCGUAGCUGGCUAAGUUAGUCCCUUGUUAAAUCCACCGAAUUAAUCGUUGGAUUGCGGGGGAUACUGCUUGACUAGGGGACGAGAGAGGCAGACGGUAUUUUCGGGGUAGGGGUGAAAUCCUAUAAUCCCGGGAAGACCACCAGUGGCGAAGGCUGUCUGCUAGAACGCGCCUGACGGUGAGGGAUGAAAGCUGGGGGAGCGAACCGGAUUAGAUACCCGGGUAGUCCCAGCUGUAAACGAUGCAGGCUAGGUGUUUGGACGGCCACGUGCCGUUCUAGUGCCGCAGGGAAGCUGUUAAGCCUGCCGCCUGGGGAGUACGAUCGCAAGAUUGAAACUUAAAGGAAUUGGCGGGGGAGCACGGGGCGGGG
rnacentral:rRNA from 1 species